rnacentral:rRNA from 1 species
CCUGGCUCAGGAUGAACGCUAGCUACAGGCUUAACACAUGCAAGUCGAGGGGCAGCAUGGUCUUAGCUUGCUAAGGCCGAUGGCGACCGGCGCACGGGUGAGUAACACGUAUCCAACCUGCCGUCUACUCUUGGACAGCCUUCUGAAAGGAAGAUUAAUACAAGAUGGCAUCAUGAGUCCGCAUGUUCACAUGAUUAAAGGUAUUCCGGUAGACGAUGGGGAUGCGUUCCAUUAGAUAGUAGGCGGGGUAACGGCCCACCUAGUCUUCGAUGGAUAGGGGUUCUGAGAGGAAGGUCCCCCACAUUGGAACUGAGACACGGUCCAAACUCCUACGGGAGGCAGCAGUGAGGAAUAUUGGUCAAUGGGCGAGAGCCUGAACCAGCCAAGUAGCGUGAAGGAUGACUGCCCUAUGGGUUGUAAACUUCUUUUAUAAAGGAAUAAAGUCGGGUAUGGAUACCCGUUUGCAUGUACUUUAUGAAUAAGGAUCGGCUAACUCCGUGCCAGCAGCCGCGGUAAUACGGAGGAUCCGAGCGUUAUCCGGAUUUAUUGGGUUUAAAGGGAGCGUAGAUGGAUGUUUAAGUCAGUUGUGAUAGUUUGCGGCUCAACCGUAAAAUUGCAGUUGAUACUGGAUAUCUUGAGUGCAGUUGAGGCAGGCGGAAUUCGUGGUGUAGCGGUGAAAUGCUUAGAUAUCACGAAGAACUCCGAUUGCGAAGGCAGCCUGCUAAGCUGCAACUGACAUUGAGGCUCGAAAGUGUGGGUAUCAAACAGGAUUAGAUACCCUGGUAGUCCACACGGUAAACGAUGAAUACUCGCUGUUUGCGAUAUACUGCAAGCGGCCAAGCGAAAGCGUUAAGUAUUCCACCUGGGGAGUACGCCGGCAACGGUGAAACUCAAAGGAAUUGACGGGGGCCCGCACAAGCGGAGGAACAUGUGGUUUAAUUCGAUGAUACGCGAGGAACCUUACCCGGGCUUAAAUUGCAGAUGAAUUACGGUGAAAGCCGUAAGCCGCAAGGCAUCUGUGAAGGUGCUGCAUGGUUGUCGUCAGCUCGUGCCGUGAGGUGUCGGCUUAAGUGCCAUAACGAGCGCAACCCUUGUUGUCAGUUACUAACAGGUUCCGCUGAGGACUCUGACAAGACUGCCAUCGUAAGAUGUGAGGAAGGUGGGGAUGACGUCAAAUCAGCACGGCCCUUACGUCCGGGGCUACACACGUGUUACAAUGGGGGGUACAGAGGGCCGCUACCACGCGAGUGGAUGCCAAUCCCCAAAACCUCUCUCAGUUCGGACUGGAGUCUGCAACCCGACUCCACGAAGCUGGAUUCGCUAGUAAUCGCGCAUCAGCCACGGCGCGGUGAAUACGUUCCCGGGCCUUGUACACACCGCC